rfam:TPA: Bos taurus chromosome 19, whole genome shotgun sequence.
UCCCUGGUGCCUUAGAUGGUAAAGAAUCCACCUGCAAUGUGGAAGACCUGGGUUUGAUCCCCGGGUUGGGAA